UUAGUCCCUAAAAAUGGUAGUAAAAUCGAUAGUUUUCGGUAAAACUCCCACGGCCAUUAAACAAUGUUAAGGGUUUUAUUCAGGCUAAUUAACGUCUUUAUCAGUCGUUAAGUGAAGCGGUAAGUUUUUGUUUGACAAUCGCGUACAAGACGCUUUAGAAUUCAGACAAAGGAAAUUGACAAUGGGGUUAAAUUCCCAAAAUAAUCGUAUGCAUUAUGCAAGCAUUACCAAGCGCAACCGCACUUCCUAGCACUCAAUCUUGUUUCCUGCAUAGAUCUCUUCGUGUGACUCAGAAACUUGUUAAAUAAGCCGGUAAUUAGCCUAGCUGCUAUCAUAAUCAAUCUUUACAGAGAAUUUGUUCUCCAGUGCUUACGUGAGUACUAAAUACACACUUGUUUGCUGAACUUUCUAAACAAAGAUCUUAGCGACGAAUGGCUGCCACACUCAAGACUAAACAACAGGAAAAAAAACACUUGAUAGAGGCAAUGAAAGCCGAAUCGCAUGUGAUGGCAAAGGGAAGACAAGAUGUAUUAUCACUGGAGAAAAUGAUGGUGCAAAGUUUGAGAGUUUGUGGCCCCGGAAGAAAGUCUUUAGGAUUCCGAUACAAAUAUUCAAAUCUAAACACAACUCAACAAACAUCCAAUGGACUCCAAAUUCGUGAAAUCGUUGGAGUCCUUGAAGAUAGCUCUAAGUCUUUGCCACGUAUUACAAAUAAUGUUGGAGCUAAGAGUGAUUUGAAUGGAAAAUGUGGAUUAUUGACUUUGACCACGACAAAUGUAGCGCUUACCUGGGCAACCCGUCAGAAUGGUCUCGAGGCGACAGAGCAAACAAGCAUUCGUGUCACUCCGAUAGAAACAGUGCUAAAACGACAACACAAACCCAAGAAAUAUACCGCAGCAAAGUACAGGACGACUUUGAAAUCUUUCAAAAGAAUGAGAGAAAAACUAUCGCAAUCAAAAGUCAAACGCCAUUCCAGGGAAAAUAGCGAAGCGCAAGAGGAAUGGACUGAUGGAAUAACGGAUUUUGGAUCGAGUCAUGUGUCGCCGGCAAAAAGCGAUCGCGCGUUAACAAGAGCUAGUGGAGAAAGAACAAUGGAGUCACGUGGUAAGGACACAUUGCCGAAAAUUCGAGUCAACUGAUUUUAUGGUCAAAAUGACUAUAAGACCCGUUUACACUGGCAAUUUUGUCGCGCGUCACGAGGUGCGUUCACGAGGUGCGUUCACGAGGUGCGAAGUUCUUGCAAGUGGUAACAAGCCUUUAAAGGUAUAAUGAUGAGGAUAUUUUUUUACCUAAGGGUCGAGAACUUAGAAAUGUCUAAUAAAUUUUGCUCCAUUGCAACUCUCUUUUGUGGGAUUUACCCCAAUAAUGUUGAUCUACAGUCGAUCUUGCAGACCCCUGCCAUGCAAUGAAUGUUUUUCCGAAGCUGUUCUCUCUUUUUAGAUGCAAUGCAGUUCCUGAUUUAAGAGCUAUAACUAUUUCUUUUUUUUCCGCUUCGAUUUUAGACAAUGCUGAAUGGCUAACCCAAUAGUCUAUUCCACGAUACGAUCUUGAAAACCAGGCUUUCGUUUAGAAGAUAGGCAAGCGUUGACCAAGGGCGUUUAAUUAUUCCAAAAUAUAUAAUACUUUCCAUAGCAAAGCACAAAUUAACCUGGCUUCUAGGUCUCCUAUAGUUAACCGACAAAAAUAUCUAGAACCUGACUUGAAUCUGACCGGUUGCACAAAGGUUCAAGGGCUCUUGGAACGAGAUUGCUACAGAAUUUGCCUGCCCUCCCCGUCAGUGUUUUCUGCGCUUGACUUGUUUUAACUUGAAGGUGUAAUUAUGAGGUUCUUUUAGAAGUUUUUUACUCAAACUUGCCCCUUCCUCUGAACAUUCUGGUGACCACAUCCGUAUCCCGUCAGACCCCACGGGCGUAGCGGAUUAUCCGGGAACUUCAUUGUACGUGACGCCAGCCGUGUAAUGGCGCCAAACCCUGCUGCGAGUUGCCUUGUAUUCCUGUUUACUCUACUUUGGAGAAAGAAAGUCAAUCAGCCAACCUUUGUUGUUGUUUAUACUUGGAAAAACAGCUGUUUGUUCACAAGAAAAUUUAAAAUAACAACCUUCUACGAAUGAAGUCUGAUACAUUAUUGACGACACUUCAUUGAAAAUAUCUCGUUUGAAUUAGCCGAUGGAAAUCGAUGCUUUGUGAAUCGAUGCUUUGUGACACUUCCAUUCCCAAUUGAGUUGUUCAUGUGGGAUACGGGUCUUUUGCUGUAUAAUUUAUUGUAUAAUUUAUAAUCUAUUUGAAAUUUGUACAAAAUAAGGUUAAAAUUAAAAUUAGUAUUUCUUGAAGUAUAUAUUUUAUUACCUUUUCAAAUAAAAAAAUACAAAGCAUGAAUAUCCCCUUCCUCAAUCCUUCGGUAAAGAAAUCUCGAGCACGCUCAAGUUAAUUACAUCCGGUGCGCAUGCGUGUAGUGCAGGAAGCUGCUCGAGUGAACUUGACGAUGACGAUGGGAGCAAUAACAUCCCACGGCCUGGGGCCUGGAUACUGCUAGAACCGACUUAACCAAAUAAAGAUGCUCUUUUCAAAUAUUUCUGAGCUAGGCUGAAAUUCGCGUACUGAUAAACACUCUCUUCGCCCACCGUCUGGUAAAAUGAGACAACCGCUAUUGAGGGGGAUGUGCGGUCAUAUGCUGCUAUGCACCAUGGGAUAGCUAGGCUACAAUUCACGUACUAGUAAUUAUUCUCUUCGCCCUUCGUCUUGUAAGAUGAGACCAUCACUAUAAAGGGGUAGUACCUUGAUAUUUCGCCCUUCGUCUUGUAAGAUGAGACCAUCACUAUAAAGGGGUAGUGCCUUGAUAUGACGCUAAUCACUACGGGAAUACCUUACAGUCCGAUUCAGUCCUCUGCUUUUUUUUACCAAAAUUUUUUUUUUACCUUAUUUUAGAAAACACGGGCUACUAGAAUAUAUAGAAUAUAUAUAACUAUAUAUUUAAACUAUUCUCGUAACAUUUACUAUACUUGUAACAUUUAAGAGCUUGACUACGAUUUUUGAUAAUCCCAAUACCAAAGAUUAACAAAGUGUCGGGCACGGGACUUGAUUCUCCCCAGACAUUCUUAUGUCAAAACCGAUGAUUUAUAGUUAAUAGCUUUGUAAUGAAAAGUUAAAAAAAUAACAACUUCCGAAGCAUCCUUACAAAUAAUCCGAAGAUGGAUGGGAUACAGAAUGUAUUUGAUAAAAGUUUGCUAUUCUUGUCAGCGUAAACAUACGUUACAACAUAUGGAUAUGCUAUUACGAGACACCAAAGAUUCUUUGAGACGUUUAAGGUGUCGAGCUGCUCGUGGUACAUUAACCCUGCGUCUGGAGUCGCUAGGGAUCGGGUCGCGUCUGUUAACGACAUAUAAAAACAGCAUUAACUCAUCGCAUGCACGCAAGGAAUAAAGGAUUGAAGAUGGAAAACCCACCGCCAUCCCCCACAUCUCCUAACCCCCUACCGAGAGAGAGGAAGCCAUGAUGCCCAUUGGGUGUGGUCAUCACCCAUAACUAGCAUUCUCGUUACCUCAUCUCUCUUUCUUUUCCUGCACCCCACUGAGAGCAAGAGAAAGACAUGAUUUCCGAUGGGCGUGGCUCUCACCCCUGGCCCCUUCGUUCCAGUUCUGUAACCCUUUCCCUUCACUCCCACUGAGAGUAAAAAUAAGACGUGAUAUGCAAUGGGCGUGGUUAUCGCCCAUCUCUCGUAUCCCGAAAUAUGUUUAGUAUCAUUGUUUUUUUUCUUAUGUUAACUCCCAUGGUAUGAUAUUGUAGUAAGCGUUUGUGAAUUUACCCAAGCUAAUUUUCUAUGUCCUUAAAAUCAUGAGUACAUUCUAGUAACUGUAGUAGGUAUUGAAUAGCUCAAGAUGGUUGCGUUUUAGAAACAUCAGUGAGAGUUAGGAAAUGACAUCCACCACUUGUGUCAAGUAGCGGCGGAGAGGAUGAGGGUUCUCCGUCAGCUAAUCCAUAUCCGUUAUACCUCAAUGGCAUAUACUACCCCCAGUAGAGGAAUUCCAGGAAUCCCGUCACUGACGACACAGUGCACGCGCCAGCCAGUCCAUAACGCGCGAUUAAGGAGCGGGAUAUCAUAACACUAGAUAAUACCGGAGGUCAAAUAUAGUAUAUAUUGGCAAAUGGUCACAAGAUUUUAUCAGAUAACGAAGAGGCUUUUACAAGCGUCAAAAAACAAACAAGAAUAAAAUCGUACGACUUACAAAGGAAUCGGUGGUAAGGCUUGUGUAGUACUAACGCCAAAAGAAGAAGGAAGAGAACGCAUUGUAAAACUCUGACAAGGUUUUGAUUGAAGUUGAGCGCCGAAUAACGUCUCCUCAACGAAGCCCUGGAGAGAAAAGUGGAAGAAAAAAGGACGAUAGGAAGACAACUACUGCUAUUUCAAAUAAGAACAACUUGCAGAAUUGAGGACAGGAUAACUUUGAGAAGAGGUUGAUUCCUUGUAAUUAGGCUCAAAUAUAUAACGAGGUCUUCGAUAAUAGAGGUCAUAAGUAAUACCAUCCCAUUCAAUUUAGAAAAGUACAUUCUUAAAAAUAAGGAAGACGUCGUAUAGAAUGUCAGAUCACAUCAAUACAUUUACCUAUUAAUAAUCACUAUCUGAUUGGUAUCGUAAUUGGACUAAUUGGACUAUUGUGAAAUAUUCAUCAUGGUUCACGCCUCGGUUAUGAGCAAGCUAAUGAAAGUUGCCUUUCUCCUUAUACUUUUCGCGAGUGACUCAGGGGCCGUGUUGACCGUUAUACACAGAGGGCGGGUGGGAAGACUUCGGAGUGGAAACAGAGAACUCCCUAAAGCUGAAGAGCAGUACAUCAAACCCGCUGGACCGCGAAUGCUUGGCAAGUUCACAUUUGUGAAAAAGAGGCAUAGCUUGGAAAUCCCUGUUAAGCAUUCUCUUCGAACGAGAUUGAAUUUGUAGAAAAACAGAUAACCCAUUGACUACAAAACGACUCAAGAGAAAAGAAAACAACGAACACGACGGCUUCAAGCUCACGUCUCAUUUACUUAGUAACCAUUAAUUAUCAUAUUGUAUUGUGUUGAAGUGAUGCGAAGCCCACGUCUCAUAUUUACUUAGUAACCAUCAUAUUAUCAUAUUGUGUUGUGUUGAAGUGUUAGUGCUGAUGCUGAUGAUGUUGAUAAAGGUGAUGAUUAUGACCACGUGUUUUCGAUGGUGGUGGUGAUAAUGAUGAUUGAGCUUUUAACUCACAUAAUUGCUAAUUGUGUUGGUUAGGAAGAUAAUAAUGACGUCAUCUAUGAUGCUGCGUGAUUUUGAAUAAUUGUCAUGACGAAGACAAAUAUAAGUCUGAAACCUGUUUUUGAGGGGUAUUGAAAUAGCAAUAACUGAGAAUAAAAAAGAAAUUCAAAAUA